rnacentral:rRNA from 1 species
GUGCACGCUGGCGGUAGGCCUAACACCUGCAAGUCGAACGGCAGCACAGUAAGCGCUUGCUCUUCCGGGUGGCGAGUGGCGGACGGGUGAGGAAUACAUCGGAAUCUACUUUUUCGUGGGGGAUAACGUAGGGAAACUUACGCUAAUACCGCAUACGACCUACCGGUGAAAGCAGGGGAUCUUCGGACCUUGCGCGAUUGAAUGAGCCGAUGUCGGAUUAGCUAGUUGGCGGGGUAAAGGCCCACCAAGGCGACGAUCCGUAGCUGGUCUGAGAGGAUGAUCAGCCACACUGGAACUGAGACACGGUCCAGACUCCUACGGGAGGCAGCAGUGGGGAAUAUUGGACAAUGGGCGCAAGCCUGAUCCAGCAAUACCGCGUGGGUGAAGAAGGCCUUCGGGUUGUAAAGCCCUUUUAUUGGGAAAGAAAAGCAGCAGGUUAAUACCCCGCUGUUCUGACGGUACCCAAAGAAUAAGCACCGGCUAACUUCGUG